UUUGGUGGCGAACUUCCGCUUGCUGUCACUGUGCUUUUACAGACAGGAGGACUACAUGUCUCAGAUGGUACGCGAAGGGACUCGGAGUCCGGCCGGAGCGAGAGUCGGCUUCGGGCCCCCAACCGCGCAAGCCCCGCCUCGUGUGACCGCUGUCAAUGUAGCAGUCCCAUCAGCAAUACUGCACGGGGAUCUCCGCGCCUGCUCCAGGGAUCUCUACGAAUACCGCUGUUGCUCAAGGCCCUGAGCCCUGCUUUCCGAGGCCUUGUUCCGGUCACAGGGAUCAAGUCAGCCCCAAGCAAACUUCUCUUCUGGCCCGAUGAAUCUAACCCGACUCCAGAUCGCCCGACCUCUAGGUACGCUCAGAGCCCAAAGGGAACGCCUCCUCCGUGUCUCAGCUUGAUUGACUGCCUUGCGAGGCUUGUGAUUGGUGGAAGCCACGCAGACCAAGGCGGUGAUUGGUGGGACUUGAGGCGGUGCACAAGCAAGCCACGCCCACUUCUGGCUCUGUAAGCCGGCUGUUUUUAUAGGCAUCUCCCUUGUCUGUCUGUCUGUCUUCCUCUGUCCCUUGUAACGUUUGACUAAAGUAAAGACUUCCAAAAUGG